rnacentral:rRNA from 1 species
CGGGUGAGUAACACGUGGGUAACCUGCCCCGAUGACUGGGACAACCCGAGGAAACUCGGGCUAAUACCGGAUGUGCCCUCCGGCCACAAGGCCGACGGGAAAGGAAGCUUCGGCCUCCGCAUCGGGAUGGGCCCGCGGCCCAUUAGCUUGUUGGUGAGGUAACGGCUCACCAAGGCGACGAUGGGUAGCUGGUCUGAGAGGACGAUCAGCCACACUGGGACUGAGACACGGCCCAG